rnacentral:rRNA from 1 species
AUACGGAGGGUGCGAGCGUUGUUCGGAAUCACUGGGCGUAAAGGGCGCGCAGGCGGUUUGUCAAGUCAGAUGUGAAAGGCCACGGCUCAACCGUGGAGGUGCAUCUGAAACUGGCAGACUUGAGUACCGGAGGGGAAAGUGGAAUUCCCGGUGUAGAGGUGAAAUUCGUAGAUAUCGGGAGGAACACCGGAGGCGAAGGCGACUUUCUGGACGGAUACUGACGCUGAGGCGCGAAAGCGUGGGGAGCAAACAGGAUUAGAAACCCCAGUAGUCC